AUUGAAUCCAAGUCUUACAGCCAAACAUGAAGAAAAUCAUUAAGGCCUCUGUGCAGAAUUUCACUUAUUUUUCAUCAGUGAAGCAAAGGAGUAGGAAGCACUCCAGGAAUGGUUAAGAGUGUAGACUCUGGCUGGCUCUGGUUGAAUUCUGGCUCUGAACUUAUUAGCUCUAUGACCUCAGCUAAGAUCAGUUCAAAGAAAGAUGGAACUAAACAAUACAAAAAGAAAAUGCCUUCGGCCGCUCAGUGAAGUGGGACAGGGAGAAAGGGGAAGAAUCAGAAGCUCCUGUCUGGUGCCGGCUUCUAAAACCACUGAUCUGGAGAUUGUGUUUAUCACACUUCUAACCAACAUGGCUAAAGUUCAAACACUCAUUAGGACACUAUAAAACCCUUCCUGGGUUUAAAUGAGAUGGGAUGGUGCAUAACCUCCCAGGUAUGGGGCACAGAACACCAAAGCAUGAAGGUGGCUGGAGACCCGUAGGGACUCUUGGUGAGGCUGGAGUGUGAAAGGCAGUUUGGAACAGGGUGGAAAAGGAGGGAAAGGCCAGAUGACACGAGGUCUGAAUGGUGCAAAGCACCUCCUAAGCCCGUCCUGCUGCCAGAGCCUUCCCCGUUCCCAUGUUUAGCAUCAUCCACAUGAGCCCUUUAAUGUCUUAAAUCCAGUGACAAGCGGACUCAGCACGGGGUGCGUGUUACCUAAACCACUCCUAUUCUGGUGCAGUGGCAGCCACAGAGCAGCUUUGCCCCCAGAAAUUUUUGAUGGAAUAUUCCUAAUAAUUACUAAUGUUUUCCUGUCUGAUGAAUGAGAAACAAAACACUCUCAAAUUCAGUGAGAAAAAAAUCCCUGCCAUCUCUUGUGGAGAGGCAGUGGCCAUUUAGGAGGUCCCUAUACAAAAGAAAACUAUGGAGCUCAGUGAAGAGGAUCAAACUGCCCCAUCCAUCAAAGGGGAAGAAUAUAAAUCCAUAGAUGAUCCCUGAAGAUGUCAGUGGACCCCACUAUCUAUCUUGGAGUAUCAGAGCAGAGUUUGUGUGGGUCUCAGAGAUGAACCCUAAUUCACAGCUCACACUCUGCCCAGGGCCCAGUGCUACCCAGCAGACAAAUGGGCAGACCAUCUCCUCCAGUGCAGCCUGCAGAAACAAUAUUCAACACAUCAGAUCCUGAGAAGAGCUUGAGAACUGAAUUGGUUUAGUUGUUCAACGCAGAGAAAACAAAACCAUUCUAAACUCUCGGAUAGCAUGGCUUAACACACUACCCAAUUACAUCAGUGAGCCCAUGGAGUGAACUUGCCCUCCAAGUUCAUUUGACUAUCACAUUGUUUAAAAUAUAUAUAUAUAUACAUGAUCUGCCCUUGUUAAAAAAAAUACAUUGUUAAAAAAUAACCUAUAUGUGAUCUGUCAACAUUUUAAAAUCAGGAAAUUUCAUAUAAUACAGAGUUCUGGCUUAAAAAAUAAUGAAAUGGGACAAUCCUGCAGAAUGGUCCACAUUCUGUCAGCAGAAAUGAAAUCUCCCCCUUUAUUAGGGCAUGCAGUGUCCCUAGAAACCCACUGUACUGAUUUAUGUAUUUGCCUGGCCCCUAUAGUAGACAUUGAGUUGGUAAUCCUUGAGUCACAGAUCACACAAGUAAAUAUAGUAACUAAAUAUCUCACUCUUCUCCAGCUUAUAGAAGAGAUUGACAGACAUUUUCUUUCUUCCCUUUACUUGAACUUUGCUAGCUGAAAAAAAAAAGCCAAUAAAAAAAUUCAAUGUUUUUUAAAGAAACAAAAAUCAUAUUGAGUUGAAAACAUAAGGGAAAUUCUACUUUUUUUUGGUACUAAUGAGUCCAUUUGAAUUAUCUUUGGAAUGGAUAAGAGAAUUUAUCUGUGUGGAAGGGUGGAGGAGAAAGUGGGGGGUUUAUCUUAUUCUCUAGAAAAUCUUCUGCUGAAGCCAGAAUCUCCCCAACGAUGAGCAGAAUUAAGGAGAAGAAGCAGAUCUAUGGAAAUGCAAAAUUUCCCUGUCAUAAGAAUAAACUCUAGAAGAUUAAUUUUUAGCUUCAACAUAGAAUGAAGUUAUAGCUCUUUGAUAAAUGAUGUUCUUUGUUGUCAUGACAAUGGGGCCUGUAGGGAGGGGUGCAUAAAGAGGCCUGCCCAUAAAUCUGAACAUUUUAAGAAGGGGUUAAAACAAACAUCUCUAGACUAUUCCCAA